rnacentral:lncRNA from 1 species
GGGCACAGCCGUGCCCAAAAAUAAGCCCCCGAAGGUCGGGGUCCCAAGACCCCCCAGCGGAAAAAUGGCCAAAAAACGGGUGGGCUAUAGCCUAUGUGGGGGGCGUGGGCGAAGUUCGUCCGCGGGACUCGGAAUGGCCCCAGACUUGGCGGGCGGCCUCCGUGUGCCAAAAAUAGGCCACGGGCACAGCCGCGCCCAAAAAUCAGCCCCCGAAGGUCGGGGUCCCAAGACCCCCCAGCGGAAAAAUGGCCAAAAAACGGGUGGGCUAUAGCCUUGGUGGGGGGCGUGGGCGAAGUUCGUCCGCGGGACUCGAAAUGGCCCCAGACUUGGCGGGCGGCCUCCGUAUGCCAAAAAUAGGCCACGGGCACAGCCGCGCCCAAAAAUCAGCCCCCGAAGGUCGGGGUCCCAAGACCCCCCCAGCGGAAAAAUGGCCAAAAAACGGGUGGGCCUAUAGCCUAGUGUGGGGGGCGUGGGGCGAAGUUAGUCCGCGGGUCUCGGAAUGGCCCCAGACUUGGUGGGCGGCCUCCGUGUGCCAAAAAAUAGGCCACGGGCACAGCCGCGCCCAAAAAUCAGCCCCCCAAGGUCGGGGUCCCAAGACUCCCCAGCGGAAAAAUGGCCAAAAAACGGGUGGGCUAUAGCCUAUGUGGGGGGCGUGGGCGAAGUUCGUCCGCAGGACUCGGAAUGGCCCCAGAUGUGGCGGGCGGCCUCCGUGUACCAAAAAUAGGCCACGGGCACAGCCGCGCCCAAAAAUAAGCCCCCGAAGGUCGGGGUCCCAAGACCCCCCAGCGGAAAAAUGGCCAAAAAACGGGUGGGCUAUAGCCUUGGUGGGGGGAGUGGGCGAAGUUCGUCCGUCGGACUCGGAAUGGCCCCAGACUUGGCGAGCGGCCUCCGUGUGCCAAAAAUAGGCCACGGGCACAGCCGCGCCCAAAAAUCAGCCCCCGAAGGUCGGGGUCCCAAGACCCCCCAGCGGAAAAAUGGCCAAAAAACGGGUGGGCUAUAGCCUUGGUGGGGGGAGUGGGCGAAGUUCGUCCGUCGGACUCGGAAUGGCCCCAGACUUGGCGAGCGGCCUCCGUGUGCCAAAAAUAGGCCACGGGCACAGCCGCGCCCAAAAAUCAGCCCCCGAAGGUCGGGGUCCCAAGACCCCCCAGCGGAAAAAUGGCCAAAAAACGGGUGGGCUAUAGCCUUGGUGGGGGGCGUGGGCGAAGUUCGUCCGCCGGACUCGGAAUGGCCCCAGACUUGGCGGGCGGCCUCCGUGUGCCAAAAAUAGGCCACGGGCUCAGCCGCGCCCAAAAAUCAGCCCCCGAAGGUCGGGGUCCCAAGACCCCCCAGCGGAAAAAUGGCCAAAAAACGGGUGGGCUAUAGCCUAUGUGGGGGGCGUGGGCGAAGUUCGUCCGCGGGACUCGGAAUGGCCCCAGAUGUGGCGGGCGGCCUCCGUGUACCAAAAAUAGGCCACGGGCACAGCCGCGCCCAAAAAUAAGCCCCCGAAGGUCGGGGUCCCAAGACCCCCCAGCGGAAAAAUGGCCAAAAAACGGGUGGGCUAUAGCCUAUGUGGGGGGCGUGGGCGAAGUUCGUCCGCGGGACUCGGAAUGGCCCCAGCCUUGGUGGGCGGCCUCCGUGUGCCAAAAAUAGGCCACGGGCACAGCCCCGCUCAAAAAUCAGCCCCCGAAGGUCGGGGUCCCAAGACCCCCCAGCGGAAAAAUGGCCAAAAAACGGGUGGGCUAUAGCCUUGGUGGGGGGAGUGGGCGAAGUUCGUCCGUCGGACUCGGAAUGGCCCCAGACUUGGCGAGCGGCCUCCGUGUGCCAAAAAUAGGCCACGGGCACAGCCGCGCCCAAAAAUCAGCCCCCGAAGGUCGGGGUCCCAAGACCCCCCAGCGGAAAAAUGGCCAAAAAACGGGUGGGCUAUAGCCUUGGUGGGGGGCGUGGGCGAAGUUCGUCCGCCGGACUCGGAAUGGCCCCAGACUUGGCGGGCGGCCUCCGUGUGCCAAAAAUAGGCCACGGGCUCAGCCGCGCCCAAAAAUCAGCCCCCGAAGGUCGGGGUCCCAAGACCCCCCAGCGGAAAAAUGGCCAAAAAACGGGUGGGCUAUAGCCUUGGUGGGGGGCGUGGGCGAAGUACGUCCGCUGGACUCGGAAUGGCCCCAAACUUGGUGGGCGGCCUCCGUGUGCCAAAAAUAGGCCACGGGCACAGCCGCGCCCAAAAAUCAGCCCCCCAAGGUCGGGGUCCCAAGACCCCCCAGCGGAAAAAUGGCCAAAAAACGGGUGGGCUAUAGCCUAUGUGGGGGGCGUGGGCGAAGUUCGUCCGCGGGACUCGGAAUGGCCCCAGAUGUGGCGGGCGGCCUCCGUGUACCAAAAAUAGGCCACGGGCACAGCCGCGCCCAAAAAUAAGCCCCCGAAGGUCGGGGUCCCAAGACCCCCCAGCGGAAAAAUGGCCAAAAAACGGGUGGGCUAUAGCCUAUGUGGGGGGCGUGGGCGAAGUUCGUCCGCGGGACUCGGAAUGGCCCCAGACUUGGCGGGCGGCCUCCGUGUGCCAAAAAUAGGCCACGGGCACAGCCGCGCUCAAAAAUCAGCCCCCGAAGGUCGGGGUCCCAAGACCCCCCAGCGGAAAAAUGGCCAAAAAACGGGUGGGCUAUAGCCUUGGUGGGGGGAGUGGGCGAAGUUCGUCCGUCGGACUCGGAAUGGCCCCAGACUUGGCGGGCGGCCUCCGUGUGCCAAAAAUAGGCCACGGGCACAGCCGCGCCCAAAAAUAAGCCCCCGAAGGUCGGGGUCCCAAGACCCCCCAGCCGAAAAAUGGCCAAAAAACGGGUGGGAUAUAGCCUUGGUGGGGGGCGUGGGCGAAGUUCGUCCGCGGGACUCGGAAUAGCCCCAGACUUGGCGGGCGGCCUCCGUGUGCCAAAAAUAGGCCACGGGCACAGCCGCGCAAAAAAAUCAGCCCCCGAAGGUCGGGGUCCCAAGACCCCGCAGCGGAAAAAUGGCCAAAAAAUGGGUGGGCUAUAGCCUUGGUGGGGGGCGUGGGCGAAGUUCGUCCGCCGGACUCGGAAUGGCCCCAAACUUGGUGGGCGGCCUCCGUGUGCCAAAAAUAGGCCACGGGCACAGCCGCGCCCAAAAAUCAGCCCCCCAAGGUCGGGGUCCCAAGACCCCCCAGCGGAAAAAUGGCCAAAAAACGGGUGGGCUAUAGCCUAUGUGGGGGGCGUGGGCGAAGUUCGUCCGCGGGGCUCGGAAUGGCCCCAGAUGUGGCGGGCGGCCUCCGUGUGCCAAAAAUAGGCCACGGGCACAGCCGCGCCUAAAAAUAAGCCCCCGAAGGUCGGGGUCCCAAGACCCCCCAGCGGAAAAAUGGCCAAAAAACGGGUGGGCUAUAGCCUAUGUGGGGGGCGUGGGCGAAGUUCGUCCGCGGGACUCGGAAUGGCCCCAUACUUGGCGGGCGGCCUCCGUGUGCCAAAAAUAGGCCACGGGCACAGCCGCGCCCAAAAAUCAGCCGCCGAAGGUCGGGGUCCCAAGACCCCCCAGCGGAAAAAUGGCCAAAAAACGGGUGGGCUAUAGCCUUGGUGGGGGGAGUGGGCGAAGUUCGUCCGCCGGACUCGGAAUGGCCCCAGACUUGGCGGCCGGCCUCCGUGUGCCAAAAAUAGGCCACGGGCACAGUCGCGCCCAAAAAUCAGCCCCCGAAGGUCGGGGUCCCAAGACCCCCCAGCGGAAAAAUGGCCAAAAAACGGGUGGGCUAUAGCCUUGGUGGGGGGCGUGGGCGAAGUUCGUCCGCGGGACUCGGAAUGGCCCCAGACUUGGCGGACGGCCUCCGUGUGCCAAAAAUAGGCCACGGGCACAGCCGCGCCCAAAAAUAAGCCCCCGAAGGUCGGGGUCCCAAGACCCCCCAGCGGAAAAAUGGCCAAAAAACGGGUGGGCUAUAGCCUUGGUGGGGGGCGUGGGCGAAGUUCGUCCGCGGGACUCGAAAUGGCACCAGAUUUGGCGGCCGGCCUCCGUGUGCCAAAAAUAGGCCACG